rnacentral:rRNA from 1 species
GUAGGUGGCAAGCGUUGUCCGGAAUUACUGGGUGUAAAGGGAGCGCAGGCGGAACUGCAAGUUGGGGUGUUUAAUCUACGGGGCUCAACCCGUAUCAGCAUUCAAAACUGUGGUUCUUGAGUAAUGCAGAGGUAGGCGGAAUUCCCGGUGUAGCGGUGGAAUGCGUAGAUAUCGGGAGGAACACCAGUGGCGAAGGCGGCCUACUGGGCAUCAACUGACGCUGAGGCUCGAAAGCAUGGGUAGCAAACAGGAUUAGAUACCCUGGUAGUCCAUGCUGUAAACGAUGAUUACUAGGUGUGGGAAGAUUGACCCUUUCCGUGCCGCAGUUAACACAAUAAGUAAUCCACCUGGGGAGUACGACCGCAAGGUUG